rnacentral:rRNA from 1 species
GAUGAACGCUGGCGGCGUGCCUAAUACAUGCAAGUCGAGCGAACAGACGAGUAGCUUUGUCCUCUGACGUUAGAGGCGGACGGGUGAUUAACACGUGGAUAACCUACCUAAUAGACAUGGAUAACUUCGGGAAACCGGAGCUUAUACCGAAGAAUAUAUGGAACCACAUGGGUCAGUAGUGAAUUACGUUUUAGCUGUCAUUUGUGAAUGGAUCCGCGCCGCAUUCUCGAGAUGGUAAGGUAACGGCUUGCCAAGGUAACGAUGAGUAGCCGACCCGAAAGCGUCAUCGGCCAGCCUGGAUCUGAGACCCGGUCCACACUCCUACGCGGAGCAGCAGUCGGGAAUCUUCCGCAAAGGACCAAAGCCUGACGGUGCACCGCCGCGUGAGUCCUGACGGUCUUCGGAUCCUAAAACUCUGUUAUUAGGGAAGACCAAAUGUGUAAGUAACUAUGCACGUCUUGACGGUACCUAAUCAGAAAGCCACGGCUAACUACGUG